AAGACUAUACUUUCAGGGAUCAUUUCUAUAGUUUACAACUGAGAAAUGCGUUUCGAAAGUGUUUGGUCUCGCUACCCACAAUGACGAGGCAAUGCGUCUUCUUCUGAGCGCGAAGUGGAUAGAGUGCGUUGAUUUAAAUCAACCGCUUUCUAUCUUUGAUGACCGUUCCGAUUUUGUGAAGAACUCGGAAGAAGGAGAUGCGUUCUGAGUGGU